ACAACAUUGACCGAGGCUGUCUUUGCUUGGCAGGCGGCGAGUAAGGACGUGGCGCCCUUGGUCCGUAAUAUUUUCCCCUAAAAUUGAAGUCUUUAUUAUAUCAGCUUGAUAAAACAUCUUAUUACAAAUGGCAACCGAGGAAAACAAAACCCACAGUGGCAAUUGGAGUGUGAUGAGUGAAACUGCCUUAGCUAAGAACUUUCCGCUGCACCGGGCGUGUCGUGACGGGGAUGUGGCUGCACUCGCCGCCCUGCUGCAGCAGGACGCCACACACCGCCACCUCACACUUGAGGACACCUACUAUGGCUGGACACCUACACAUUGGGCUGCCUACUUCGGCAAGCUGGAGUGCCUGAAGGUGCUGGUGGAGAGCAGUGGAAGUAUGCACGCAGGAAUGACAACAUCAAGAUUCACCCAGACACCAGCACACAUUGCAGCAUUUGCCGGCCAUCCUCAUUGUCUUAUGUGGCUGCUCCAGACAGGACUAAAUGUCAACACACAGGACUAUCUUGGAGAGACAUCGCUUCACAAGGCAGCUCGGACGGGGUCUAUGGAGUGUGUCACUGUCUUGUUGGGCAGUAAGGUUCUGAUAGGAAUUUUGAACAACAAUGGUCAGACAGCAGCCCAACUUGCAAAUGCAUGUGGCUACAGUGACUUGGCAAACUACUUACUGCAGGCUGAAGGAAAACAAGCUAAUGGUGAGCACAAUGGUUUCAUCAGUUGUAGUGUGCCAAGCCAUGGCCUUAAUGGAGGAGUCUUCCCACACAGCACUGAAAUGGGACAGCUCAAUGGAACUCAUAAGGCAGAUACCCCCAAUAAUGGCUUCAUAUCUGCAUCUAAUCACAUGAGUACAAAUAGUUCUGUCACUGGUAGCAAUUCUACCUUCACUUCUUCCAAUGGUUAUUAUGGCUUUCAGCCAACAAACAAUCCUGCAAAUGAAAGUAUGAAUGGCCAUGGAAAUAUUGCUUCUAAGUCUCAUAAUCAAGAAUCUGAAGACUGUGAAAUGGAAACCGAUGCAAAUCCAGUUGAUUCUCAGAAUGGAAAAGACAACACCAUGGAACCUGUCUUGAACAAUUACAUGAAAUCCUCUUCCCAGAAUGGAUUUUGUAAUGGAAAUAUUCCUAAAGCCAUGUCUACAUACACAAAUGGCAGCAAACAAAAUGGAUCCAGAGAAGUAGCUAAUGGUCAUAGAGCCAAGAUAGGUUUUGUUAGUGUAAGUCCUGUUAACCAGACAAGCUUUGUGCAUAAGACUCUUCCUCCAAUGGAACAAGAUAUCACUUUGAAUGAUGGAGUAUCCAAAAAUUAUAUUCCUAUUGCUGGUUGCAAGAGAUCAAGAGAAGAUGUAUAUGUUCCAGAAAUGAAGAGGAUGAAAACUGAUGGCUCACAGUGUCCUCAACCUUUAAUGAAGACUUUUACAAAAUCACCACCCAGUUUACCCUGCCAUAUUAGACCUCCAUUUUCUGAUAUAACAAAUCAUUCACCUGAUCCAUUUGGGGAACAUUUGAGGAAUGCAUCCUACAGUCACAUGGAAAGUAAAACCUGUAGGCAAGAAUGUAAUGAAGAAGAAACAAACACUGAAGUGGAGAUAACUAUGGAAGAUUCAGAGAAUGAUGUGCAAGACAGCAAUAUAGAACUAAUCAGAACAAAAGCUCAUGAUGAAGAAACUGUUGAGCUCUGUCAGGAGAUGCUUCGGGAAACUCAUGGCUGUGAACCCUACUUGUAUUUUUCAUGAGCAAAACUAAAAGCUCUGACCAAUGAAAAUUAGACAAACAUUGCAGCUGUAUGAGUAGUUAAGAUGGAUUACCUGUGAAGAAGCUGCAGCAGCACCACAGCCAGGUCCAAGCCCCUGCUACCAUGACAGUCUCCUCCUCCAUGGUGGACCACUUUUUAACUGUCAAAAUGGAGGACGGUUAUGAGGCAAUCAACUUUGAG
rnacentral:misc_RNA from 1 species